GUACUGCUGAGGAGUCCCAAAAUAGGACGAAACGGCCGUCCAGUGU
rfam:Schistosoma haematobium scaffold558_9, whole genome shotgun sequence.